AACAGGAAGCAGCUUGCUGCUUUGCUGACGAGUGGCGGACGGGUGAGUAAUGUCUGGGAAACUGCCUGAUGGAGGGGGAUAACUACUGGAAACGGUAGCUAAUACCGCAUAACGUCGCAAGACCAAAGAGGGGGACCUUAGGGCCUCUUGCCAUCGGAUGUGCCCAGAUGGGAUUAGCUAGUAGGUGGGGUAAAGGCUCACCUAGGCGACGAUCCCUAGCUGGUCUGAGAGGAUGACCAGCCACACUGGAACUGAGACACGGUCCAGACUCCUACGGGAGGCAGCAGUGGGGAAUAUUGCACAAUGGGCGCAAGCCUGAUGCAGCCAUGCCGCGUGUAUGAAGAAGGCCUUCGGGUUGUAAAGUACUUUCAGCGGGGAGGAAGGGAGUAAAGUUAAUACCUUUGCUCAUUGACGUUACCCGCAGAAGAAGCACCGGCUAACUCCGUGCCAGCAGCCGCGGUAAUACGGAGGGUGCAAGCGUUAAUCGGAAUUACUGGGCGUAAAGCGCACGCAGGCGGUUUGUUAAGUCAGAUGUGAAAUCCCCGGGCUCAACCUGGGAACUGCAUCUGAUACUGGCAAGCUUGAGUCUCGUAGAGGGGGGUAGAAUUCCAGGUGUAGCGGUGAAAUGCGUAGAGAUCUGGAGGAAUACCGGUGGCGAAGGCGGCCCCCUGGACGAAGACUGACGCUCAGGUGCGAAAGCGUGGGGAGCAAACAGGAUUAGAUACCCUGGUAGUCCACGCCGUAAACGAUGUCGACUUGGAGGUUGUGCCCUUGAGGCGUGGCUUCCGGAGCUAACGCGUUAAGUCGACCGCCUGGGGAGUACGGCCGCAAGGUUAAAACUCAAAUGAAUUGACGGGGGCCCGCACAAGCGGUGGAGCAUGUGGUUUAAUUCGAUGCAACGCGAAGAACCUUACCUGGUCUUGACAUCCACGGAAGUUUUCAGAGAUGAGAAUGUGCCUUCGGGAACCGUGAGACAGGUGCUGCAUGGCUGUCGUCAGCUCGUGUUGUGAAAUGUUGGGUUAAGUCCCGCAACGAGCGCAACCCUUAUCCUUUGUUGCCAGCGGUCCGGCCGGGAACUCAAAGGAGACUGCCAGUGAUAAACUGGAGGAAGGUGGGGAUGACGUCAAGUCAUCAUGGCCCUUACGACCAGGGCUACACACGUGCUACAAUGGCGCAUACAAAGAGAAGCGACCUCGCGAGAGCAAGCGGACCUCAUAAAGUGCGUCGUAGUCCGGAUUGGAGUCUGCAACUCGACUCCAUGAAGUCGGAAUCGCUAGUAAUCGUGGAUCAGAAUGCCACGGUGAAUACGUUCCCGGGCCUUGUACACACCGCCCGUCACACCAUGGGAGUGGGUUGCAAAAGAAGUAGGUAGCUUAACCUUCGGGAGGGCGCUUACCACUUUGUGAUUCAUGACUGGGGUGAAGUCGUAACAAGGUAACCGUAGGGGAACCUGCGGUUGGAUCACCUCCUU
rnacentral:rRNA from 1 species